GAUGAACGCUGGCGGCGUGCCUAACACAUGCAAGUCGAGCGUACAGACGAGGAGCUUGCUCCUUUGACGUUAGCGGCGGACGGGUGAGUAACACGUGGAUAACCCACUUAUAUUACUGGGAUAAUUUCGGGAAACCGGAGCAAAUACCGGAUAAUAUAUUGAACCGCAGGGUUCAAUAGUGAAAGACGGCUUUGCUGUCACUUAUAGAUGGUUCCGGGCCGCAUUAGCUAGUUGUUAAGGUAACGGCCUAUCAAGGCAACGAUGCGUAGCCGACCGGAUAGGGUGAUCGGCCACACGGGAACUGAGACACGGUCCAGACUCCUACGGGAGGCAGCAGUAGGGAAUCUUCGGCAAUGGGCGAAAGCCUGACGGAGCAACGCCGCGUGAGUGAUGAAGGUCUUCGGAUCGUAAAGCUCUGUUAUUAGGGAAGAACAGAUGUGGAAGUAACUAUGCACGUCUUGACGGUACCUAAUCAAGAAGCCACGGCUAACUACGUG
rnacentral:rRNA from 1 species